rnacentral:rRNA from 1 species
UGGGGAAUAUUGGACAAUGGGGGCAACCCUGAUCCAGCAAUGCCGCGUGUGUGAAGAAGGUCUUCGGAUUGUAAAGCACUUUCGACGGGGACGAUGAUGACGGUACCCGUAGAAGAAGCCCCGGCUAACUUCGUGCCAGCAGCCGCGGUAAUACGAAGGGGGCUAGCGUUGCUCGGAAUGACUGGGCGUAAAGGGCGUGUAGGCGGUUUACACAGUCAGAUGUGAAAUCCCCGGGCUUAACCUGGGAGCUGCAUUUGAUACGUGUAGACUAGAGUGUGAGAGAGGGUUGUGGAAUUCCCAGUGUAGAGGUGAAUUCGUAGAU